rnacentral:rRNA from 1 species
CCGGCGAGGGGAGUGAAAAAGAACCUGAAACCGUGUACGUACAAGCAGUGGGAGCACCCUUUUGGGUGUGACUGCGUACCUUUUGUAUAAUGGGUCAGCGACUUAUAUUCUGUAGCAAGGUUAACCGAAUAGGGGAGCCGGAGGGAAACCGAGUCUUAAUUGGGCGUUAAGUUGCAGGGUAUAGACCCGAAACCCGGUGAUCUAGCCAUGGGCAGGUUGAAGGUUGGGUAACACUAACUGGAGGACCGAACCGAC